AGAGUUUGAUCCUGGCUCAGGAUGAACGCUGGCGGCGCGCCUAACACAUGCAAGUCUAUCCUGAUGUUUACAUCGGGAGGCAAACGGGUGAGUAGUACUUUGGUAACCUACUCUCGACUCAAGCAUAACCCAGAGAAAUUUGGGAUAAUACUUGAUAGUCAUGGGGGGUCUUAUGACAUUCCUAUGUAAAGAUUUUUCGGUCGAGAAGGGGCCUAAGGCCUAUCAGCUAGUUGGCGGGGUAAAAGCCCACCAAGGCUAUGACGGGUAGCUGGUCUGAGAGGACGAUCAGCCACAUCGGCACUGAGGCACGGGCCGGACUCCUACGGGAGGCAGCAGUGAGGAAUUUUGCACAAUGGGGGAAACCCUGAUGCAGCGACGCCGCGUGACCGAAGAAGCUUUUCGGAGUGUAAAGGUCUUUUCUAGAGGAUGAAUUAUGACAGUACUCUAGGAAUAAGCCACGGCUAACUCUGUGCCAGCAGCCGCGGUAAUACAGAGGUGGCAAGCGUUAUCCGGAAUUAUUGGGCGUAAAGAGUCUGUAGGCUAUCUGACAAGUUUUCUGUGAAAUUCCAAUGCUCAACAUUGGAGCUGCAGAAAAUACUGUCAGAAUUGAGGAAGAUAGAGGUAAGUGGAAUUCCCGGUGUAGUAGUGAAAUGCGUUAAUAUCGGGAGGAACACCAAUAGCGAAGGCAACUUACUGGAUCUUUCCUGACGCUGAGAGACGAAAGCGUGGGUAGCGAAUGGGAUUAGAUACCCCAGUAGUCCACGCCGUAAACGAUGGAUAUUAGGCAUAGGGAGAGUCGACCCUUUCUGUGCCGAAGCUAACGCGAUAAAUAUCCCGCCUGGGAAGUACGGCCGCAAGGCUAAAACUCAAAGGAAUUGACGGGGACCCGCACAAGCGGUGGAGCAUGUGGUUUAAUUCGACAAUAAGCGAAGAACCUUACCAGGGCUUGACUUCUAGGAAUCCCUUCGAAAGAUGGGAGUGCCUUCGGGAAUCUAGGAUCAGGUGUUGCAUGGCUGUCGUCAGUUCGUGGCGUGAGCUGUACGGUUAAGUCCGGAAACGAGCGUAACCCUUACUCUGUGUUAUAUUUCUCACAGAGGACUGCCGGCGUAUAGUCGGAGGAAGGUGGGGAUGACGUCAAGUCAGCAUGACCCUUUGAUGCCCUGGGCGACACACGUGCUACAAUGGCUAGUACAAAGAGACGCCAAAUCGUAAGAUGGAGCUAAUCUCAUCAAAACUAGUCUCAGUUCGGAUUGAGGUCUGCAAUUCGACCUCAUGAAGUUGGAAUCGCUAGUAACUGUAGGUCAGCCACACUACAGUGAAUACGUUCUCGGGUCUUGUACACACCGCCCGUCACGUCAAGCGAGUUGGUAACACCCGAAGUGCUGGUAACUAGGGACAAGGGUUGCGCUCGUUGC
rnacentral:rRNA from 1 species